rnacentral:rRNA from 1 species
AUACGGAGGGUGCAAGCGUUAUUCGGAAUCACUGGGCGUAAAGGACGCGUAGGCGGGUUGGCAAGUCAGAUGUGAAAUCCUACAGCUUAACUGUAGAACUGCAUUUGAAACUGCUAACCCAGAGUAUGGGAGGGGGAGAUGGAAUUAGUGGUGUAGGGGUAAAAUCCGUAGAUAUCACUAGGAAUACCGAAAGCGAAGGCGAUCUCCUGGAACAUAACUGACGCUAAGGCGUGAAAGCGUGGGGAGCAAACAGGAUUAGAAACCCUAGUAGUCC